rnacentral:rRNA from 1 species
GCGUUGUUCGGAAUUACUGGGCGUAAGGCGCACGUAGGCGGCUUUGCAAGUUAGAGGUGAAAGCCCGGAGCUCAACUCCGGAAUUGCCUUUAAAACUGCAUCGCUAGAAUCACGGAGAGGUGAGUGGAAUUCCGAGUGUAGAAGUGAAAUUCGUAGAUAUUCGGAAGAACACCAGUGGCGAAGGCGACUCACUGGAUGUGUAUUGACGCUGAGGUGCGAAAGCGUG